rnacentral:rRNA from 1 species
CAUAAAAUGACUCUCGGCAACGGAUAUCUCGGCUCUCGCAUCGAUGAAGAACGUAGCGAAAUGCGAUACUUGGUGUGAAUUGCAGAAUCCCGUGAACCAUCGAGUCUUUGAACGCAAGUUGCGCCCGAAACCAUUAGGUCGAGGGCACGUCUGCCUGGGUGUCACA